GAACGCACAUUGCGCCCAUUAGCAUUCUAGUGGGCAUGCCUGUUCGAGCGUCAUUUCACCACUUAAGCCCUGUUGCUUAGCGUUGGGAGCCUACGGCAUAGCCCGUAGCUCCUUAAAGUGAUUGGCGGAGUUGGUUCUCACUCUAAGCGUAGUAACUAUAUCUCGCUUCUGUAGUAGUUCCGGCCCCUGCCGUAAAACCCCUUAUACAAAGGUUGACCUCGGAUCAGGUAGGAAUACCCGCUGAACUUAAGCAUAUCAAUAAGCGGAGGAAAAGAAACCAACAGGGAUUGCCCUAGUAACGGCGAGUGAAGCGGCAACAGCUCAAAUUUGAAAUCUGGCUCUAGGGCCCGAGUUGUAAUUUGCAGAGGAUGAUUUUGGCGCGGUGCCUUCCGAGUUCCCUGGAACGGGACGCCUUAGAGGGUGAGAGCCCCGUACGGUUGGACACCAAGCCUCUGUAAAUCUCCUUCGACGAGUCGAGUAGUUUGGGAAUGCUGCUCUAAAUGGGAGGUAAAUUUCUUCUAAAGCUAAAUACCGGCCAGAGACCGAUAGCGCACAAGUAGAGUGAUCGAAAGAUGAAAAGCACUUUGAAAAGAGGGUUAAAUAGCACGUGAAAUUGUUGAAAGGGAAGCAUUUACUACCAGACCUUCUCC
rnacentral:rRNA from 1 species